ensembl:lncRNA
GGAGGUGAACUCUGCUCUGUGUGAAGGAGGUGAACUCUGCUCUGUGUGAAGGAGGUGAACUCUGCUCUGUGUGAAGGAGGUGAACUCUGCUCUGUGUGAAGGAGGUGAACUUUGCUCUGUGUGAAGGAGGUGAACUUCACAACCAGAGAUUCUCUGCACUGUUGUUAUGAAUGCAGAAAGUACAAGAGCUGUAAAAUGUGGAAAGUGGAUUAAUAGUUUGUAAUGGGUUGUGUAUUUACAUCCAACGGCCACACAGGGGCAGUAUUGGGAUCUGAAAAGAAACGUGUGUGGAUGACAAAGGUCGUAACACUACAAUUAGGCCUAGCUGAAUGAAAUUAUAAAUACAGUAUGUCUUGAUAAAUAAACACAAAUCAAUCUAUAUUGAUUGUUCCCAUGUAUAUUUGUGUGUGUUUGUGUCUUAAGUUUUGUCUUAUGAAUGUUAAUAAAUACACAGACGACCUUGUUCAUUAGUGUGAUGAUUUUAUUGGUUUGUGAUGAUUAAAGUUAAAACCAAGCAGCUGCAGGGAUCAUCUCAACAGACAGUAAAGAUUCUAUUUUGGAAUGACUGGACAGCAGAACACCCAGAGGAACAGAAUGAGAGUACAGUUCUAGAGAACACCAGCUAGAGUUCUACAUUCUAGGAGAAUUCCAGCCACCAGCCAGUAGUGUGCAGGAUCCAGACAAGACAUCAUGCCAUGGAUUUAAUACCUCCUGGUGUCUAACUUUAACAAGACAUGUACCUCUAAUGCAUCCAUAGUAUUACUAUCUCUCUUUUAUCUGGUGGAAAUGGGUUUCUGAGUCCUACUCAAACCAAGCAUGAGACUGAGACCAGGAUUCAAUCCCAGCGCUUUGUCAGCUAUGUGCCAUUUUAAAGGUCAUUUCUGAUUGAACUGACUGAACUGAACAUUCAUCAUGAAUGCAGUCUUAUUAUCAUAUUAUAUUAAGUAGUAACUAUAAUCAGCUGCAGGGUCAGGACUGAAUAUUCAGUAGCCUAUAGCAGGGUCAGGACAGAAUAUUCAGUAGCAUAUAGCAGGGUCAGGACUGAAUAUUCACUAGCCUGUAGCAGGGUUAGGGUAAGGACUGAAUAUUCAGUAGCCUAUAGCAGGAUAGAUAGAUAGAUAGAUAGAUAGAUAGAUAGAUAGAUAGAUAGAUAGAUAGAUAGAUAGAUAGAUAGAUAGAUAGAUAGAUAGAUAGAUAGAUAGAUAGAUAGAUAGAUAGAUAGAUAGAUAGAUAGAUAGAUAGAUAGAUAGAUAGAUAGAUAGAUAGAUAGAUAGAG